UUCGCCUGUUUAUCAAAAACAUCUUUUCUCGUUAGUUUUUGAAGUAUGGCCUGCCCGCUGACUUUGGUGUUGAAGGGCCGCGGUAUUUUGACCGUGCAAAGGUAGCAUAGUCAUUAGUUCUUUAAUUGUGAUCUGGUAUGAAUGGCUUGACGAGGCAUGGGCUGUCUUAAUUUUGAAUUGUUUAUUGAAUUUGGUCUUUGGGUUAAAAUUCUUAGAUGUUUUUAUGGGACGAGAAGACCCUAUAGAGUUUAACAUUUGUUAUGGUCCCCUUUCUGUUUGUGAGGGUUCAUUGGGCCGUUAAAUAUGUUUUGUUGGGGUGAUGGGAGGGAUUAAUUUAACCCCUCCUUUUUGUUAUUAUAUUUAUUUAUAUUUACUUGAUCCAUUUAUUUUGAUUGUAAGAUUAAAUUACCUUAGGGAUAACAGCUAAACAAA
rnacentral:rRNA from 1 species